rnacentral:rRNA from 1 species
AUGGAGUUGGUGUGCUGGAACGUUAGGGGGCUAAAUAGCUCGGCUAAGAAAAAGAGUCUAAGGGAGUUUGUGGACACAGUCCGGGUGGCUAUCAUAUGUAUACUAGAGACGAAACUAGAGAGGGUGGAUCAAUUCACUAUAAUGCAAUGUUUGGGGCUAGCCUACGAUGGCUUUGCUUACUUGCCGGCUUCAGAGACGAGGGGUGGCAUUAUGGUGGGAUGGGAUUCUUCUAAAGUGUAG